rnacentral:piRNA from 1 species
UCUCCAGAGGCCUUGCUCAGGAACGAUGU